rnacentral:rRNA from 1 species
CAGUAGCCGCGGUAAUACAGAGGGUGCAAGCGUUAAUCGGAAUUACUGGGCGUAAAGCGCGCGUAGGUGGUUUGUUAAGUUGGAUGUGAAAGCCCCGGGCUCAACCUGGGAACUGCAUCCAAAACUGGCAAGCUAGAGUACGGUAGAGGGUGGUGGAAUUUCCUAUGUAGCGGUGAAAUGCGUAGAUAUAGGAAGGAACACCAGUGGCGAAGGCGACCACCUGGACUGAUACUGACACUGAGGUGCGAAAGCGUGGGGAGCAAACAGGAUUAGAGACCCGUGUAGUCCCUGUCUCUUAUAC